UGACCGUGCGAAGGUAGCAUAAUCAUUAGUCUUUUAAUUGAAGGCUUGUAUGAAUGGUUGGACGAGAAGUAAUCUGUCUCUGUUGAAAAAAUUGAAUUUAACUUUUGAGUGAGAAGGCUUAAAUGACCUAGAGGGACGAUAAGACCCUAUAAAGUUUAAUAUUACAGCAAUAGAAAAUUAAUUAGGUUAUAAGAUUUGUUAUUGUAGGUAGUAUUUUGUUGGGGCGACAAGAAUAUAAAUAAUUUAACUGUUCUUUUUUGUAUCAAAGAUAUUUGAGUUGAUGAUCUUUUUAAGAGUAAUAGAGUAAAUUACUUUAGGGAUAACAGCGUAAUUUUUUUUGAGAGUUCUUAUCGAUAAAAGAGUUUGCGACCUCGAUGUUGAAUUAAAGAUUCUUUAUAGUGCAGAAGCUAUACAAGAAGGUCUGUUCGACCUUUAAAUCUUUACAUGAUUUGAGUUCAGACCGGUGUGAGCCAGGUGGUUUCUAUCUA
rnacentral:rRNA from 1 species